GUUAUAGUUACGCCAUCAGCUGAUGCUGAGAGCUUAUCCUCGUGGGGAAGCCGGUGAGUAUUCCGGCGCUGUCCCGCAACCGUGACCUGGAUGUGUUAAUUCAUCUGGAAGCCGGAACGCCAGGAGGAUGAGUGGAAAGGAAC
rnacentral:ncRNA from 21 species